UGUUCCUGUAUUAUCUCCCCAGGCCAGAAGCUGCUGUCCUCCUCCUCCAUCACUGCUCUCCCUAUCAACCUUCCACUGCUUUGUUCAGGCCUCUUCAUGCCUACCAAUCCUCCAAGCCAGCAGAUGCCUAAGGUCAGCGGAGCCAUCACAGGACCCAAAGAAAAAGCUUUUUCCUUAAGACUGGAAUGAGAUAAGGGUAUCUCCUAUCACUCCUUCAAGUCAACAUUAUAUUGAAGAUCUUACCAGUGCAACAAGAAAAACAAAAUGAGGUAAAGAUUAUCAUAAAUGUUAUUAACAAAACAAACAGACACAACAAACUAUAUACAAGGGAAGAUUGAUUAUAUUGACAGAUUCAUCAACAAUAAAAGCUGGAUGAAUUAAGGUA